GAUGAACGCUGGCGGCGUGCCUAAUACAUGCAAGUAGAACGCUGAAGGAAGGAGCUUGCUCUUUCCGGAUGAGUUGCGAACGGGUGAGUAACGCGUAGGUAACCUGCCUGGUAGCGGGGGAUAACUAUUGGAAACGAUAGCUAAUACCGCAUAACAGUAGAUGUUGCAUGAUAUCUACUUAAAAGGUGCAAUUGCACCACUACCAGAUGGACCUGCGUUGUAUUAGCUAGUUGGUGAGGUAACGGCUCACCAAGGCGACGAUACAUAGCCGACCUGAGAGGGUGAUCGGCCACACUGGGACUGAGACACGGCCCAGACUCCUACGGGAGGCAGCAGUAGAGAAUCUUCGGCAAUGGACGGAAGUCUGACCGAGCAACGCCGCGUGAGUGAAGAAGGUUUUCGGAUCGUAAAGCUCUGUUGUAAGAGAAGAACGAGUGUGAGAGUGGAAAGUUCACACUGUGACGGUAUCUUACCAGAAAGGGACGGCUAACUACGUG
rnacentral:rRNA from 1 species